rnacentral:rRNA from 1 species
UCUGACGGAGCAACGCCGCGUGAGUGAUGAAGGCUUUCGGGUCGUAAAACUCUGUUGUUAGGGAAGAACAAGUGCUAGUUGAAUAAGCUGGCACCUUGACGGUACCUAACCAGAAAGCCACGGCUAACUACGUGCCAGCAGCCGCGGUAAUACGUAGGUGGCAAGCGUUAUCCGGAAUUAUUGGGCGUAAAGCGCGCGCAGGUGGUUUCUUAAGUCUGAUGUGAAAGCCCACGGCUCAACCGUGGAGGGUCAUUGGAAACUGGGAGACUUGAGUGCAGAAGAGGAAAGUGGAAUUCCAUGUGUAGCGGUGAAAUGCGUAGAGAUAUGGAGGAACACCAGUGGCGAAGGCGACUUUCUGGUCUGUAACUGACACUGAGGCGCGAAAGCGUGGGGAGCAAACAGGAUUAGAUACCCUGGUAGUCCACGCCGUAAACGAUGAGUGCUAAGUGUUAGAGGGUUUCCGCCCUUUAGUGCUGAAGUUAACGCAUUAAGCACUCC